rnacentral:rRNA from 1 species
UGUAAGCGUAUACCAAAGUUGUUGCAGUUAAAACGCUCGUAGUCGGAAUUUGGCAGUUCCGGAUGUGUGCACGUCGUGUGCGCACUUCGCGGGGAUUGCUUUUGUGGUCUUGCGUAGGAUGAGGCACUUUUAUUAGUGAACGUCCUCACGCAACCACUUUUUACUGUGAGAAAAUCAGAGUGCUCAAAGCAGGCAUUUGCCGUGAAUGUAUUAGCAUGGAAUAAUAGAAUAGGACUUGGUUCUAUUUUGUUGGUUUGUUGGGACUGAGUAAUGAUUAAGAGGGUCAGUUGGGGGCAUUUGUAUUUCGGUGCUAGAGGUGAAAUUCUUAGAUUACCGAAAGACAAACUGCUGCGAAAGCGUCUGCCAAGGAUGUUUUCAUUGA